GCCUGGGUGGCUCAGUCGGUGAAGCAGCUGACUUCGGCUCAGGUCACGAUCUCGCGGUUCGUGGGUUCGAGCCCCGUUUCGGGCU
rnacentral:tRNA from 1 species